UCAGGACCUAACCAGAACCAGCUUGUGAUGCGGAUCCCACCAUCAAGACUUAAUCAUUGUGUUCCACUUGGUUCUGAACUGGGAAUAGUUCAGUUUUCUGUUUAAGUCUGAAUUUUCAGUUCUUCAUCAUAUACUGUAGAUGAGGAGGAAGAGGAGCUGAGAGAUUCAGGGAGGAGCUGAGAUGUUACUGAACUCUAGAAGAGACACAAACUUCCUCAUUCAACACAGUUCAACACACAAACAUCUACUCUGCUCAACAUGCUGUCUUUGCUCACAUCUGGAUUUAUUCUGCUGGUUCUGCUCAUUAGAACAGAUGUAAACUGUCAACAACUCACCGCACUGAAGACCAAAGAGUCCAAUUUAGAGGGCGGAUCUGUUACUCUGUCCUGCAGUUACACCAAAGGUUCUGUGGAGUAUUUGUUCUGGUAUCGACAAAAUCCAGGAAAACCUCCAGAGUUCCGGAAGUCUCACUCACCUUUCAGUGGAGCAGAAAAUCUGGACGGACUGAAAUUUGAAGGAAACCAAGAGGAGAUGAAGAUGACCAUUUCCUCUGCUGCAGUGACAGAUUCUGCUGUGUACUACUGUGCUGUGAGGCCCACAGUGACAGGAAACACCAGAACUCUGUACAAGAACCUGCAAUACUCCACAACAUCCACUAGAGGGCCUCACACACUCAUUGUUUUUCAUUGUAUUUCUUCCCUAAAUGUCAAUCAUGCUUGUUUGCUCACAAACAGUAUACAAUGUUAGGUUAGAUAUGUUGGGGUAUUUUUCAAAGGAAUAAGCUGUAACUCUCUAUUUUGUUAAAUUUUUUAAAUUCAUAAAACAUUCUUCUGGGA